rnacentral:rRNA from 1 species
CAGUCGCCGCGGGAACACGAAGGGUGCAAGCGUUAAUCGGAAUUACUGGGCGUAAAGCGUGCGUAGGCGGUUUGUUAAGUCUGUUGUGAAAUCCCCGGGCUCGACCUGGGAAUGGCAAUGGAUACUGGCAAGCUAGAGUGUGUCAGAGGAUGGUGGAAUUCCCGGUGUAGCGGUGAAAUGCGUAGAGAUCGGGAGGAACAUCAGUGGCGAAGGCGGCCAUCUGGGACAACACUGACGCUGAGGCACGAAAGCGUGGGGAGCAAACAGGAUUAGAGACCCGCGUAGUCCCUGUCUCUUAUAC